rnacentral:lncRNA from 1 species
GGCAAUUUCUGCUUCCUGGCCUUACUUCUUUAAAGAAAAAAAUUUCCCAUGCAUUAGUCACUUAGAUCAACCCAUUGCCACAUUUUUUUAGUGUUGAAAGCUAAUAUAUUUUAGUAAUGCUUCAAUGAACUGUGGUAGCAACAAAUAAAGAAAUUGACUUCUGUCCCAAAAUAUGGGGAGUAGAGUUGUAAUCAGGAUUACAAAAAAAAAGGGGCCAGUAUUACAAGCUGCUAAAAUGCUUUUGCGUGGAUUAUUGUUUUAUUUGGACCCCCUCCACCCUUUAAAUCUGAUACAUGCUAAGAUUUUCAUGGGCACAGCCACCUCCUAAUAUGUGGUUUUGCUUCUCUGCAAGCAUGGAAUCCCCUCUGCAGUUAUGUUUGCCUGUGCAUCUCCGGCAGCUGGAGGACGAAUCACAUCAGGCUGAUGAGUGUGUCACGCUCUUCAUCCCCCAAGAGCUGUGAUGAAGACCAAGACAAACAGUAGAUUAACAGUGCUACCUUUUAUAAGGCUGAUUAGUUCCUAAAAUAUGCUGAAAGGAAACAAAACCAAAAAGAAAAAAGAGUGGAAAGGGGGGUGAGACAGAAACCUUUGUCGAGUCUCAUUCCAUCACCCAGGCUGGAGUGCAGCGGCGUGAUCUUGGCAACCUCCACCUCCCAGGCUCAAGAAAUCCUCCCACCUCAGCCUCCCAAUAGCUGGAUCUACAGGCGUACACCACCACAAUCAGCUGUAUUUUUUGUAGAGACUGGGUUUCGCCAUGUUGCCCAGGGUGGUCAUGAACUUGUGAGCUCAAGUGAUCUGCCCGCCUCAGCCUCCCAAAGUGCUGGGAUUACAGGCAUGAGCCACCGCCCCUGGCCUAAUAAAAUUUAUUUUUAAAAAAGG